AAACCAGCACCUCAAGUGGUCAGGAGGUUUAUUGGGCCUAAAGCAUCCGUAGCCUGAUCUAUAAGUUUCCGGUUAAAUCCACAUGCUCAACAUUUGGGCUGCCGGAAAAACUGUAGAUCUAGGGAGUGGGAGAGGUAGACGGUACUCGGUAGGAAGGGGUAAAAUCCUUUGAUCUAUUGAUGACCACCAGUGGCGAAGGCGGUCUACCAGAACACGUUCGACGGUGAGGGAUGAAAGCUGGGGGAGCAAACCGGAUUAGAAACCCGGGUAGUCC
rnacentral:rRNA from 1 species